CAGGCUUAACACAUGCAAGUCGAGGGGCAGCAUGGUCUUAGCUUGCUAAGGCCGAUGGCGACCGGCGCACGGGUGAGUAACACGUAUCCAACCUGCCGUCUACUCUUGGACAGCCUUCUGAAAGGAAGAUUAAUACAAGAUGGCAUCAUGAGUCCGCAUGUUCACAUGAUUAAAGGUAUUCCGGUAGACGAUGGGGAUGCGUUCCAUUAGAUAGUAGGCGGGGUAACGGCCCACCUAGUCUUCGAUGGAUAGGGGUUCUGAGAGGAAGGUCCCCCACAUUGGAACUGAGACACGGUCCAAACUCCUACGGGAGGCAGCAGUGAGGAAUAUUGGUCAAUGGGCGAGAGCCUGAACCAGCCAAGUAGCGUGAAGGAUGACUGCCCUAUGGGUUGUAAACUUCUUUUAUAAAGGAAUAAAGUCGGGUAUGGAUACCCGUUUGCAUGUACUUUAUGAAUAAGGAUCGGCUAACUCCGUGCCAGCAGCCGCGGUAAUACGGAGGAUCCGAGCGUUAUCCGGAUUUAUUGGGUUUAAAGGGAGCGUAGAUGGAUGUUUAAGUCAGUUGUGAAAGUUUGCGGCUCAACCGUAAAAUUGCAGUUGAUACUGGAUAUCUUGAGUGCAGUUGAGGCAGGCGGAAUUCGUGGUGUAGCGGUGAAAUGCUUAGAUAUCACGAAGAACUCCGAUUGCGAAGGCAGCCUGCUAAGCUGCAACUGACAUUGAGGCUCGAAAGUGUGGGUAUCAAACAGGAUUAGAUACCCUGGUAGUCCACACGGUAAACGAUGAAUACUCGCUGUUUGCGAUAUACUGCAAGCGGCCAAGCGAAAGCGUUAGGUAUUCCACCUGGGGAGUACGCCGGCAACGGUGAAACUCAAAGGAAUUGACGGGGGCCCGCACAAGCGGAGGAACAUGUGGUUUAAUUCGAUGAUACGCGAGGAACCUUACCCGGGCUUAAAUUGCAGAUGAAUUACGGUGAAAGCCGUAAGCCGCAAGGCAUCUGUGAAGGUGCUGCAUGGUUGUCGUCAGCUCGUGCCGUGAGGUGUCGGCUUAAGUGCCAUAACGAGCGCAACCCUUGUUGUCAGUUACUAACAGGUUCCGCUGAGGACUCUGACAAGACUGCCAUCGUAAGAUGUGAGGAAGGUGGGGAUGACGUCAAAUCAGCACGGCCCUUACGUCCGGGGCUACACACGUGUUACAAUGGGGGGUACAGAGGGCCGCUACCACGCGAGUGGAUGCCAAUCCCCAAAACCUCUCUCAGUUCGGACUGGAGUCUGCAACCCGACUCCACGAAGCUGGAUUCGCUAGUAAUCGCGCAUCAGCCACGGCGCGGUGAAUACGUUCCCGGGCCUUGUACACACCGCCCGUCAAGCCAUGGGAGCCGGGGGUACCUGAAGUGCGUAACCGCGAGGAGCGCCCUAGGGUAAAACUGGUGACUGGGGCUAAGUC
rnacentral:rRNA from 1 species